UUCUUUUUUUUUUUUAAGAGAUGGAGGAGUCUCACUAUGUUGCCCAAGCUGGCCUCAAACCCCUGGCCUCAAGUGAGCCUCCCACCUCAGCCUCCCAAGUAGCUGCCACCAUGCAGUCUCUAAUUUAAAUUUUAAACAAACCCUAGGUAUUAUUAUUAUCUUAGAGUAGGCUGCUUCUAAAAUAGGUCGCAAUGAUCCUCUUGCUGGUCUUUACAUCCUUGUGUAAUCUCCUUGAGUGUGGGCUGGACCUAAUGACUUACUUCUAACUCACAGGAUGUGGCAACAGUGAUGGGAUGUCACAUCUGUGAUUGAACUACAAAAGACUGUGCCUUCUGUUUUGCUAUUACUCUCUCUGGUGAGCCCUCUCUCUUGCUCUUGCUUGCUUGCACUGAUGAAGUAAGCUGCCACAUUGUGAGAUGCUCUCCGAAGAGGCCCAUGAGGCAGGGCAUCGAGGGAGGCUUCUGGCCAACAGCUCCUGGGGAACUAAGGCCUUAGGAAGUGAGUCCUGCUGACAAUAACCAGGUGAAUGAGGCAGGAAGCAGAUCUGUCCCAACUGAGCUUGAGAUGACUGUGGUCUUAUAAGAGACCCAAAGCCAGAGAGUUGACCCACAGAAACUGAGAAGAUAAACGUUGUUUUAAGCUACUGAGUUUUGGGGUAAUUUGUUAUGCAAGACAAGAUAGCUAAUACGUAUCUCAUUUUAUAGAUGAAGAAAAUGAAGCUUUGGGGUGAUGAAUCAAUGUUCUCCAAAUCAUACAGUCGGUAAAUGGCAGAGCCAAAGCUUUUGGAACAUAUUAAGUUCUAGGUUCUAGGGUCUGAGUUUAAGUCUGCUUUCUCAUGAGGUUCCAAGUGAUUGGGACACUGCAGAUCUGGAAGAAUUCUACUCUCUGAAAUCCUUGGAGUAUAGCCAUGUUUCCAGGAAACUCUUUUUGUGCAUAAAAACAGAGAUGGACAAAAGUUUAAAUGGUGCUAAGUGCUUUGAGUCGGUCCACUCCCUGCUGCAGAAGAAUGGCUGAUCCACCCAUAGAUCUGGUGAUAGUAACCAGGAGCUCCAGUCAAUAGCACAACGGCAGAGCUGAGAGCUACAGUCCAUCAAUUUUUACAAGCACUCAAGCCAUCUUACCCAUAUUAUGUAAAGCAGGUGGAAGGGGGCAUACACUUUUCUUGAGGAUGAAAAUGAAUGCAUUUAGUAAUGAAAAUGCAUAGUGUGGUAUUUUAAAAUUACAUGAGCUCUGGAAUCAGAUAACAAAUGGUUCUGCCUGAGAGACCAGAAUACCUUCUUUCACUGUUUUUUUUUUUCCUUCCUAUCCCUGAAACAGAGCCUUGAACUUUGAAACCACAGUGCCUUGUUCCAGCGUGGAAAGCAGCGUGGCACUUCCCUGUGGUGAAAGCACCCCAGCUUGAAAGGGUAAACACACCUUCUCCCAGAUAGUCUCCCUUUGUUUAGCCAGUGCUUUUUGCCAGUGGUCACCUUAAGGAAAUCAAACGAAGUGUAUGAAAUGGCGGCUAACUUUUGUGACAAUUUUCCACCUAGUUUUGUGAUAGUAAUUUCACUGCGUUCUUCAACUUAGAUGGCAAGUCCUCUUAGCAAGGCUGGCCUAAUUCUAUGUUCUCUAUGGCACCUAGUCACUAUGGCUGUGCAAGAGCCAUUAUUACUCAAAGUACCAUAAUAAUGGUCAUGCCCUCCUAUGACGUUAUUGUUUCCUAUCUGUCAGGACAUUAAUUGUCUUCUAACUUGCUCUAAAAUUGGUAGCACGGCACGCUGCCAAGACCAGAGAGAAGCAAGCUGCUGGUGAUAUAUUAAAAGGCUGCGUAAAAGGA